rnacentral:lncRNA from 1 species
AGUUCAAAGCAAACAAGCCUCAGGGCAGAGGCGCUCCUUGUUUAUUCCUUCCUCUGUCCCUCCGCAUCGGUCAUCUUCGACCGGCUGUCCAUACCGAGAAUGACGGCUAACAUUCACGCUGGACCCGUCCUUUGUUUCCAAAGACGCUUACCUUCCAGAAUCAUCAAAGCAGACUUCGGUGUGCCCUUCCUAGGGCGAUCGUCCUCUCCGCGCCGUGCAGUCCUGUUUCCCUCACCCGAGGAGCCACAGCACGAUGCAGCGGAAGGUAUGUCACACACGCCCGGGAGAUGACAAGCUUUCCCCUCUGCAAGCACGGGCAGCGGGGGCGAGGAGCAAGCGGUGUG